rnacentral:piRNA from 1 species
UGAAUGCUUCUCUUUCCCUCCUCUGCAUCUA